AUCCCGUUUUUCCAGGAAGAUCAUACAGGCCCUUCUUUCUUCAUGGAAUGGACCUCACACUGUUGUCAAACAUCUGUUGUCUGUAGGAUUAUGACCCUGAAACUACAAUUGGAGCUAUUCGAAACCCCAUCACCUUAUGAAUAUACAUCAUGGACUGCCAGAAGAAUCAACAUGUCUAUUUGGAAGGAAGUACUGCCAGACAGUCCUUAGAAGCAAGGACGGCAAGACUUUGCUUCAGGAUCGCCGCAUCGGAAUGGAGUCAAUGGCCCAACAACAACCACAGUAACAUUUCUGGAAGCAGACUGCCAAGUCGUCCUCUCAAGUUGCUCCUGGGGAAGGAACCUUAUUUAACACAGCCAUGGACUGCUAGAAGAACAAAUUGUCUUGUAAGAAGGAUGCUUGGAAUGACC